GACGAACGCUGGCGGCGUGCUUAACACAUGCAAGUCGAACGGAAAGGCCCUGCUUUUGUGGGGUGCUCGAGUGGCGAACGGGUGAGUAACAGGUGAGUAACCUGCUCUUGACUUUGGGAUAACUUCAGGAAACUGGGGCUAAUACCGGAUAGGAGCUGCUGCUGCAUGGUGGGGGUUGGAAAGUUUCGGCGGUUGGGGAUGGACUCGCGGCUUAUCAGCUUGUUGGUGGGGUAGUGGCUUACCAAGGCUUUGACGGGUAGCCGGCCUGAGAGGGUGACCGGCCACAUUGGGACUGAGAUACGGCCCAGACUCCUACGGGAGGCAGCAGUGGGGAAUAUUGCACAAUGGGCGGAAGCCUGAUGCAGCAACGCCGCGUGCGGGAUGACGGCCUUCGGGUUGUAAACCGCUUUCGCCUGUGACGAAGCGUGAGUGACGGUAAUGGGUAAAGAAGCACCGGCUAACUACGUG
rnacentral:rRNA from 1 species